AUAAGUAACGAUAAAGCGGGUGAAAAGCCCGCUCGCCGGAAGACCAAGGGUUCCUGUCCAACGUUAAUCGGGGCAGGGUGAGUCGACCCCUAAGGCGAGGCCGAAAGGCGUAGUCGAUGGGAAACAGGUUAAUAUUCCUGUACUUGGUGUUACUGCGAAGGGGGGACGGAGAAGGCUAUGUUGGCCGGGCGACGGUUGUCCCGGUUUAAGCGUGUAGGCUGGUUUUCCAGGCAAAUCCGGAAAAUCAAGGCUGAGGCGUGAUGACGAGGCACUACGGUGCUGAAGCAACAAAUGCCCUGCUUCCAGGAAAAGCCUCUAAGCAUCAGGUAACAUCAAAUCGUACCCCAAACCGACACAGGUGGUCAGGUAGAGAAUACCAAGGCGCUUGAGAGAACUCGGGUGAAGGAACUAGGCAAAAUGGUGCCGUAACUUCGGGAGAAGGCACGCUGAUAUGUAGGUGAAGUCCCUUGCGGAUGGAGCUGAAAUCAGUCGAAGAUACCAGCUGGCUGCAACUGUUUAUUAAAAACACAGCACUGUGCAAACACGAAAGUGGACGUAUACGGUGUGACGCCUGCCCGGUGCCGGAAGGUUAAUUGAUGGGGUCAGCGCAAGCGAAGCUCUUGAUCGAAGCCCCGGUAAACGGCGGCCGUAACUAUAACGGUCCUAAGGUAGCGAAAUUCCUUGUCGGGUAAGUUCCGACCUGCACGAAUGGCGUAAUGAUGGCCAGGCUGUCUCCACCCGAGACUCAGUGAAAUUGAACUCGCUGUGAAGAUGCAGUGUACCCGCGGCAAGACGGAAAGACCCCGUGAACCUUUACUAUAGCUUGACACUGAACAUUGAGCCUUGAUGUGUAGGAUAGGUGGGAGGCUUUGAAGUGUGGACGCCAGUCUGCAUGGAGCCGGCUUUGAAAUACCACCCUUUAAUGUUUGAUGUUCUAACGUGGACCCGUGAUCCGGGUUGCGGACAGUGUCUGGUGGGUAGUUUGACUGGGGCGGUCUCCUCCUAAAGAGUAACGGAGGAGCACGAAGGUUGGCUAAUCCUGGUCGGACAUCAGGAGGUUAGUGCAAUGGCAUAAGCCAGCUUGACUGCGAGCGUGACGGCGCGAGCAGGUGCGAAAGCAGGUCAUAGUGAUCCGGUGGUUCUGAAUGGAAGGGCCAUCGCUCAACGGAUAAAAGGUACUCCGGGGAUAACAGGCUGAUACCGCCCAAGAGUUCAUAUCGACGGCGGUGUUUGGCACCUCGAUGUCGGCUCAUCACAUCCUGGGGCUGAAGUAGGUCCCAAGGGUAUGGCUGUUCGCCAUUUAAAGUGGUACGCGAGCUGGGUUUAGAACGUCGUGAGACAGUUCGGUCCCUAUCUGCCGUGGGCGCUGGAGAACUGAGGGGGGCUGCUCCUAGUACGAGAGGACCGGAGUGGACGCAUCACUGGUGUUCGGGUUGUCAUGCCAAUGGCACUGCCCGGUAGCUAAAUGCGGAAGAGAUAAGUGCUGAAAGCAUCUAAGCACGAAACUUGCCCCGAGAUGAGUUCUCCCUGACCCUUUAAGGGUCCUGAAGGAACGUUGAAGACGACGACGUUGAUAGGCCGGGUGUGUAAGCGCAGCGAUGCGUUGAGCUAACCGGUACUAAUGAACCGUGAGG
rnacentral:rRNA from 1 species